GCGGACGGGUGAGUAACACGUGGAUAACCUACCUAUAAGACUGGGAUAACUUCGGGAAACCGGAGCUAAUACCGGAUAAUAUUUUGAACCGCAUGGUUCAAAAGUGAAAGACGGUCUUGCUGUCACUUAUAGAUGGAUCCGCGCUGCAUUAGCUAGUUGGUAAGGUAACGGCUUACCAAGGCAACGAUGCAUAGCCGACCUGAGAGGGUGAUCGGCCACACUGGAACUGAGACACGGUCCAGACUCCUACGGGAGGCAGCAGUAGGGAAUCUUCCGCAAUGGGCGAAAGCCUGACGGAGCAACGCCGCGUGAGUGAUGAAGGUCUUCGGAUCGUAAAACUCUGUUAUUAGGGAAG
rnacentral:rRNA from 1 species